GCGCCUGUCUUAGGGGAGUAGUCUGCUUCGCCUCCCCGGCGAAGCGCCGACGUCAACAUAUUUGGCCAGCAUGGCCAUGGCGUCGGCAGCCGUUGUUGUCCACGGCCUGACGAGACUUAUGACGUUUCCCUCCACCCUGGCCGGGCGGGAGGGUUGCGUCAUGGUUGCGUCGCCCGGCCCG
rnacentral:sRNA from 2 species